rnacentral:rRNA from 1 species
AAAACUUUCAACAACGGAUCUCUUGGUUCUGGCAUCGAUGAAGAACGCAGCGAAAUGCGAUAAGUAAUGUGAAUCGCAGAAUUCAGUGAAUCAUCGAAUCUUUGAACGCACAUUGCGCCCCUUGGUAUUCCGAGGGGCAUACCUGUUCGAGCGUCAUUACACCCCUCACGCCCCCCCCCUUCGGGCGUGGUCUUG